ACCCACUUCAUUCAAUAUUUUAAGGGAGGGGAAUACAAAAGAAUACUCUUAAAAUUUUGAGAAUUCUUGGUUCCAUAGUUCAAAAAUUUUAAAAGUGUUUUUUGUGGUUUUUUCGAGUUGAGGAGGUGGAGUCGUCUCCUUCAAACUCAUAGUUUCGGUUCGCUGCCCAGAACCAGGGCGAUUAUGUGGGUUCGCAUCGUUCGUUAACUAAGCUUUUCUCGGGGCACCCUGACGAAUGUAGUUGACUACUGGAUAAUCAACAGUCGUUAACUGUCUCAACCUAAGUAGUCCGCUUGGGUCACCUAUCCACAAUAUACAAACCCCGCUUUUAAUUAUCUUGUAUAGAGGGAAGCCAAAACCUCAUAUUAAGCAUGACACAAUUGUUUGUAUGUUAUGUGAUAUACUUAUUGUACGUAAAUAUGUUGUAUAAUAGUUCAUUAUUUUAAAA